AAAAAAAACAAACCCUGGUUUUCGUGUCCAACGUUUGACCGUCCGUCUUAUUUGAAAAAAAUAUUUAAAAAAUUAAAAAGAUAAGUCACGCAUAAAGUAUUAAUCAUGUUUUAUCAUCUAACAACAAUGAAAAUACUAAUUAUAAAAAAAUUUUAUAUAAGAUGGAUAGUCAAACGUUGAUAUAGAAACCCAGGAUUUGCCUUUUU
rfam:Oryza glumipatula chromosome 6, whole genome shotgun sequence.